rnacentral:rRNA from 1 species
AAAAAAAAUUUUUUUUUAGUUUAGUAACUUGUAAAAGAUAAAAUUAAAUAAAUUUUAGUGAGGUACUGUAAAGGAUUAUGUUUAAAAUUUGUAAAAGUAGAAUUUUUUUUUUACCUUUUGUAUCAGGGUUAAUUAAAUAGAAAAUAUUAAUAAAAAUUUAUGUAAUAAGUAGUAUUAAUGUAUUAUAUAUAUAUAUAUAUAUUUUUCUCGAAAUAAGAUGAGUUAUAAGUUUAUAAAUUAAUAUUUAUAUUAUAUAAAAUAGUUAGUAUAUAAUAUGAUAUAUUUAAAUAUUUUAAUGUAAAAUAAUUAUAUAAAAUAAAUUUAUAGGAAUGAAAUGUUAUUCAAAUCUUAUAUAUCUAGUUUUUUAAGAAACAAAUUUAAUUUGAAAUAUUUUAAAUUUAUAAAUAUAAUUAAAGAUUUUUAUAAGUGGAUUGAAAUAUUUAAGAUUUUAGGGGAUAAGCUCUAAAAUAUAAUUAAAAAUAAUAAAUGGAAAGAGAUAAAUUAAUUAUUUUAAAAUAAUUAUUUUAUAAAAAGUAUAUUAUAAUUUAUUUAUUUAGAACAAUAGGAUUUUGAGUUUAUUUAUAAUAAUAUAAGAAAAAAUUUAAUUUUAGAUAUUAAAAUAUAAUUUAAAAUAAUAUAAAUUUAGGAAUAAUGAUUAAAUUAGUAAAAAAAAAUUAUUUAAUUAAAUAAAAUAAUUAAUAAAAAAAAAUAAAAGUAAGGAAUUAGGCAAAUAAUAUUAUAUAAAAAUAAAAAUUUAUUCGAAUGUUUAUCAAAAACAUUUUAUUUAGAUUUUAAUUAUAUAUAUAACCUGUCCACUGAAUUUUGAAGGACUGCAGUAUUUUGACUGUGCUAAGGUAGCAUAAUCAAUUGUUUUUUAAAUAAAAACUUGAAUGAAUGGUUUUACGAAAUAAAUACUGUCUCACUUUUAAAGAUUUUUGAAUUUAAAAUUUUUGUAAAAAUACAAAAAUUUAAAUUAUAGACGAGAAGACCCUAAGAAUUUAAUUUAUAUUUAUUUAAAAUUUAUAUAAAGUAUUUUAAAUAUUUAAGUAAAUAUAAAUUUUAUUGGGGAAAUAUUUAAAAAUAAAAAAUUUUUAAUAUAAUGAAACAAUAAUAUUUGAUUAAAUGAAAAUUUAAUAUAAAUUAGAGUUAAAAUUACCUUAGGGAUAACAGCAUAAUUUUUUUUGAAAGUUCUUAUUAAUAAAAAAGAUUGUGACCUCGAUGUUGAAUUAAAAUUAAAAAUAAGUGAAAAUAUUUAUUUUUUAGGUCUGUUCGACCUUUAAAAUUUUACAUGAUUUGAGUUCAAACCGGUG